CUUCAUGAGACGCCGUCGCCAAGCUCCGACUGGACGGCGCGCCAACCCCACGCUCGUGGGUGGCUCGGAUGACGACGUGACCGGCACCGACCGUGCCGGUAAGAGCGCCAC
rnacentral:ncRNA from 2 species